GGCUCUCAGAGGUGGGAACGGCCUCCCCACACACCACCGGCGCUGUGGCGCAGGUGGUACAGUAGCUCUGACAGAGUACAGUUGCUCUGGCAGAGUGAAGAGAUCCGGGCGUGGGCACCCCGGCUAGAGCC
rnacentral:ncRNA from 12 species